UCCCCUUUGACAGUUCUCAGGUAGCCUCUGC
rnacentral:piRNA from 2 species